rnacentral:rRNA from 2 species
UGGCGGCGUGCUUAACACAUGCAAGUCGAGCGGUAAGGCCUUUCGGGGUACACGAGCGGCGAACGGGUGAGUAACACGUGGGUGAUCUGCCCUGCACUUCGGGAUAAGCCUGGGAAACUGGGUCUAAUACCGGAUAUGAGCUCCUAUCGCAUGGUGGGUGGUGGAAAGAUUUAUCGGUGCAGGAUGGGCCCGCGGCCUAUCAGCUUGUUGGUGGGGUAAUGGCCUACCAAGGCGACGACGGGUAGCCGACCUGAGAGGGUGACCGGCCACACUGGGACUGAGACACGGCCCAGACUCCUACGGGAGGCAGCAGUGGGGAAUAUUGCACAAUGGGCGAAAGCCUGAUGCAGCGACGCCGCGUGAGGGAUGACGGCCUUCGGGUUGUAAACCUCUUUCAGCAGGGACGAAGCGCAAGUGACGGUACCUGCAGAAGAAGCACCGGCUAACUACGUGCCAGCAGCCGGGGUAAUACGUAGGGUGCAAGCGUUGUCCGGAAUUACUGGGCGUAAAGAGUUCGUAGGCGGUUUGUCGCGUCGUUUGUGAAAACCAGCAGCUCAACUGCUGGCUU